UACGGAGGAAGCAAGCGUUAUCCGGAAUUACUGGGCGUAAAGAGUUGCGUAGGUGGCAAAGUGUGUCAGUAGUGAAAGCGUGUGGCUCAACCAUAUAUACAUUACUGAAACUGCUUAGCUUGAGGACGAGAGAGGUUAUUGGAAUUCCCAGUGUAGGAGUGAAAUGCGUAGAUAUCGGGAGGAACACCUGUGGCGAAAGCGGCGCACUGGACCACAACUGACGCUGAGGCGCGAAAGCGUGGGGAGCAAACAGG
rnacentral:rRNA from 1 species